rnacentral:rRNA from 1 species
CAUGCAAGUCGAGCGAAACGAUUUAAAUGAGACUUCGGUGGAUUUUAAAUUGACUGAGCGGCGGACGGGUGAGUAACGCGUGGAUAACCUGCCUCACACAGGGGGAUAACAGUUAGAAAUGACUGCUAAUACCGCAUAAGCGCACGGUACCGCAUGGUACAGUGUGAAAAACUCCGGUGGUGUGAGAUGGAUCCGCGUCUGAUUAGGUAGUUGGUGAGGUAACGGCCCACCAAGCCCACGAUCAGUAGCCGACCUGAGAGGGUGACCGGCCACAUUGGGACUGAGACACGGCCCAAACUCCUACGGGAGGCAGCAGUGGGGAAUAUUGCACAAUGGGCGAAAGCCUGAUGCAGCAACGCCGCGUGAGUGAAGAAGUAUCUCGGUAUGUAAAGCUCUAUCAGCAGGGAAGAAAAUGACGGUACCUGACUAAGAAGCCCCGGCUAACUACGUGCCAGCAGCCGCGGUAAUACGUAGGGGGCAAGCGUUAUCCGGAUUUACUGGGUGUAAAGGGAGCGCAGACGGCACUGCAAGUCUGAAGUGAAAGCCCGGGGCUCAACCCCGGGACUGCUUUGGAAACUGUAUAGCUAGAGUGCUGGAGAGGCAAGCGGAAUUCCUAGUGUA